UCCCUAUCCGAUCCCCCUUCUGCCCCCGUUCGGGAUCUUGUUAGGGCUUUGGAACAGAUUUACAAGUACCAAAACAAUACACUCCGGAAGUCUCAAAGUGUCGAAGAGACUCUGAAUUCGCUGAUCAAUUAGGUGUCUCUUCUCUCUCUAUAUUAGGGUUUCCGAGAUAUACGCAAGGGGUGGGGCUGGGUGUGUGCGUAUUUAGGGUUUUUCAUUCAUGGCCGAUCGGAAGUUGGCCGUAGUCAAACAGCAGCCCAUAUGGAUGAAACAAGCCGAAGAGGCCAAGAUCAAGAGCGAGGCCGAGAAGGCCGCCGCGGCCAAGGCAGCGUUCGACGCCACCUUCAAGGACGUGGAGAAGAACAGGACAGAGGAGGACAACAACGACUCGUCGGACGGGGAUGGAGACGAGGCGGAGGAGGAGGAUCUGGCCAGCAAGCCGAUCGGGCCGGUGGACCCUGCCAAGUGCGCGGCGGCCGGGACGGGCAUCGCCGGCGGCACGGCCUGCGCGCCGUCGUCCUUCGUGGUGGUCACGAAGGAUUCGGACGGGCGGAGAGUGCUGAACGGCGGUGCGGAGAUUAGGGUUAGGGUUUCGCCUGGAGUGGGGGUUGGGGGAUCGGACCAGGAUGGGGUGGUGAAGGAUAUGGGUGAUGGGUCGUAUACGGUGACGUAUGUGGUUCCAAAGAGAGGAAAUUAUAUGGUGAAUAUUGAGUGUAAUGGGAAGGCCAUCAUGGGCAGCCCAUUUCCUGUCUUCUUCAGUCAAGGCACGACUACCGGAGGGCUACUGGGUCUAGCUCCAGCGGCUACAUAUCCGAAUUUAGUUAACCAGACAAUGCCAAAUAUGCCUAAUUAUUCGGGUUCUUUUUCAUCUGGGUCAUUCCCAGGAUUGCUUGGAAUGAUUCCUGGUCUCGUCCCUGGUGCUUCAGGUGGGGUAGUGUUGCCUGGGAUUGGAGCUUCUCUUGGUGAAUUGUGCAGAGAGUAUCUUAAUGGACGCUGUGCAAAGACUGAUUGUAAAUUCAUUCACCCGCCUCACAAUUUGCUAAUGACUGCAUUAGCUGCCACAACCUCCAUGGGAACUCUGAGUCAAGUGCCUAUGGCACCUUCUGCUGCUGCAAUGGCUGCCGCUCAGGCAAUUGUUGCUGCACAAGCCCUCCAAGCCCAUGCUGCUCAGGCCCAAGCACAACUGCAGUCUGCAAAAGACUCUUCUGGAUCAGCUGAAAAAGAUGCCAAGACUCUCUCUCUGAAGAGAACUCUGCAAGUUAGCAACCUCAGCCCACUUCUCACAGCGGACCAGUUGAAACAACUUUUUAGUUUUUGUGGCACAGUUCUUGAAUGCAGCAUCACUGAUUCAAAGCAUUUUGCAUACAUAGAAUACUCAAAACCAGAAGAAGCAACCGCCGCUUUGGCGUUGAACAAUAUGGAUGUGGGGGGCCGCCCAUUGAAUGUUGAAAUGGCCAAAUCACUUCCUUCAAAACCCCCUCUUUUGAAUACACCACUUGCUUCAUCUUCAUUUCCCUUGGCAAUGCAGCAAGCUGUUGCUAUGCAACAGAUGCAAUUCCAGCAGGCCCUGUUAAUGCAACAAACAAUGGCGGCACAACAAGCAGCUAGCCGAGCUGCAACCAUGAAGAGUGCAACAGAACUUGCAGCUGCCAGAGCAGCUGAAAUAAGUAGAAGUUUGAAACCUGAUGGACCAAAUGAAGAUAAGGAAGCCAACCCAAAAUCUAGGUCACCAUCCGCCACUCGUGCAAGGUCAAAGUCUAGGUCCAAGUCCAGGUCAAGGUCACCUGUCAGUUUUAGGAGGAGGAGGUCCCGAUCUUUCUCUCCUCGAUCCCGUUUUUCUAGAGAUUAUAGAGCCAGAUCCCCAUUGAGAUUCCGCAAUUACUCCAGCUAUGAUAAUGACCGGCGCUUCUAUAGGGACAAAAAGGAUGACAUUGAGGGUAGAAGGUGGGAUUCAGGUAGAUCACAUGGCCGACAUUCUUCAGUUUCUAGGAGAAACAGGAGUAGGAGCAUGAGCCCUCGAACUAGAAAAUCAUAUCGCGAUGUUUCUACUUCACCUAAACAUAAUCGAGAAAGUUCAAAGCAUAGGUCAAAGAAGUCUUCCCAUGCUAGUUCAAGAUCACCAGGGCAUCAUAGAGGAAGUAAGUCCUCUCCGAGAAAUGAUGACGACAACAGCAAAUCAAGACUCAGGAGGCGGUCCACUUCAAAAUCUCCAGAAGUUGGGCAUCACUCUGAUGAUAAACUAGGUGGACGCAAAGAAGAAAAGUCAAAGCACCAAGACAGAAGGCGGUCGAGGUCAGUGUCAGGAGAAGGUAGGCGUUCUAGUGGAAGUAGGUUGUCUACAAGAGCUGCAGAUGAAACCAAAUCAAAACUGCGAAGGCGGUCGAUAUCUCCUGAAGAUCAGAACCACUCUAGAGAUAAAACAGAGAGAGACAGAGAUGGGAAGCCAAAGUACCGGGAGAGAAGGCGGUCCAGGUCAAAAUCUCCUGAAUAUAAGAAUCACUCGAGAGAUAAAACAGAGAGAGACAGAGAUGAAAAGCCAAGGUACCUGGAGAGAAGGCGGUCCAGGUCAAUAUCUCCUGAAUAUAAGAAUCACUCGAGAGAUAAAAUAGAGAGAGACAAAGAUGAGAAGCGUCACAAAGGAAGUAGAGUGGCUUCUGAAGAUAAGCAUCACUCCAGAGGGAAAAGGGGGAGAGAAAGAGAUGAGAAGCCAAAAUACCACGACAGAAGACAGUCAAGGUCGACAUCUGCAGAAGGUAAGCGGCAUCACAAAGGAAGUAGUACAUCCCCAAGACAUUCAGAUGAAGGUAAAUCAAGAAACAGGAGGAGGUGCUCGAGGUCGAAAUCUGCAGAAACUAUACACUUUUCUGAUGAUAAUGGGAAAGAUGAAAUUAAGGAUGAAAAGCUGAAGCAUAUUGGUGUCAGACCUGCCAAAUCUAAUGAUGAGGCCUCUCAGAUGCCUGACUUGGAGUCAAAGGAUUUAGUGAAUUUGGAGGAUGAUGGGACAUCUGCCUCUUCUCCCGUGACUUACAAAAAAUGUUCAUCAGCUAUACUAGAUGACAGCUUAGAAGGUGUGAGUAAUUGUGGUAAGAAUGAGGAUAAACAUGAGAAUAAGGACGAGUAUGAGGAUGGGGAUAAGCAUGAAAAUUCUGGAUCGGAAGACAUCAAUUAUGAGGAAACAGAGGCUACGGUAAUGUAUCAACAUUUUUCUGAAGAAACAUAAUCCAAGCAUGAUGAUGUUGACCUUUGUGGGUGGUCUGUGUUUCUAUGAUGGAAACUGGGUCCAUUUUUUUGAGUUGGAGUGAUCUUGAAUUUGUUAGCCGAAGAAGGGUUCAGAGGGUUGUCAGUGGAGUUCCUGCAAGAGGGGCAGAGUCCUCAGACGAUUACCUAGUGUUUCUUUUGGUGCUCGGAAUUUUCCCCUGGCUUUUUAACUCAACAUUGAAUAAUUUAUUCUGUUUCUUUUUUUCCCCCCCUUUUUUUCUCUUUCUCCUUUCGCAGGUUCAGUUGGAACAGAUUGAUUGCUAUGUCUGAGCUGAACAUAUAUGGUUCAAGGAUUUCAUGAAGUCUGCUGCUCUUCUGUCCUGGAUUGAUGUGCAAUAUUUUUAUCAAACUUCUUUAGCUGCUUGAUACAUUGCAGGUAAUAUGCAUGCUGGUUUCUUUUGGCGUUUUAUCAGAUCCAUUUGGCUGGGUUGUUUUUGUCAAUUUGUAUCUGAAGGUAAGCUACUUUUAAGGCCGUCUGCCAGCAGUUGUCGCAUUGCUGAGAUGAACAGCAUCAUUGUUACACCACGUUGCGUAUGAGGCGAUAGUUACACCAAGUUCCGGUGAAUUUCGAAGGGUAUCAGGUAACUGCUCUGUGAAUUGGUUGGGUUUUGUUCUUUUCGAUACAAGUUUGAUAUGUUUGGAGGUUUCUCUGCUCAUGUCCCGGAUAGAGCUGUUGGAACUGACCAUGUUCCUCUUGUUCUAUAUGAACAAUAUUAUCUGCUCGGAAACUUAGUUGGUCAUUGUCACUUCUCCUUAACUUGUUUAGGGGCUUUAUUUUUAAAUAGCUUUGCUACUCCAAUAGCAUCAUGGUUUUUGUUUUCUAGUUUUGUCAUUCGGUUGGGGACUUGUGGCCUGAACAUCUUGUUUUAGAUUAAUUUUUCUGAAGUCAUGGUGAUUCUGUUGAUGACUGUAGUUCAACUGUUCAAGGAACCAUAAAGAAUAGCAUCAAUGAGUAAAUAUCUAGACGUUG